rnacentral:rRNA from 1 species
UAGGGAAUCUUCCACAAUGGGCGAAAGCCUGACGGAGCAACGCCGCGUGUGUGAUGAAGGGUUUCGGCUCGUAAACACUGUUGUAAGAGAAGAAUGACAUUGAGAGUAACUGUUCAAUGUGUGACGGUAUCUUACCAGAAAGGAACGGCUAAAUACGUGCCGG